CUGUGUGUGAGGGGAUGGCGGGACCAGCCCGGAGUGCGCUGUGUGUGAGGGCACGGGACGGGACCAGCCCGGAGUGCGCUGUGUGUGAGGGCACAGAGGGACCAGCCCGGAGUGCGCUGUGUGUGAGGGGAUGGCGGGACCAGCCCGGAGUGCGCUGUGAGUGAGGGAACGGGACCGGAGCAGCCCGGAGUGCGCUGUGUGUGAGGGCACAGAGGGACCACCCCGGAGUGCGCUGUGUGUGAGGGAACGGGACUGGAGCAGCCCGGAGUGCGCUGUGAGUGAGGGAACGGGACCGGAGCAGCCCGGAGUGCGCUGUGAGUGAGGGAACGGGACCGGAGCAGCCCGGAGUGCGCUUGACUGCUACAAAUGCCACCAUGGACUGGUGGCUCUGUGUCUGCCACGGGCCCUCCGAUUUCCUCUAAAAGGCAGCCGUGGGGACGCGAUUCGGUGGAUCAUCCCACGGGAGCAGCGGGGAGCGGCGCUGCCCCCAGAUGGAUCACAGGAGCCCAUCCGUCCUGCCUGAAAACCUCGCAUCCAUCCUCGUCUUCUGAGAAGCAUGUUCAGACCGAUUGAAAAUCAGGGCUAUUUCGGGAUCACGUUUUUAGCGGUUCAGAAGGCAGGAUUUGGUUUGUCCGUCCCCGUGGGCAGCAGAGGGAGCCCUCGUUCUACACAACAGCAUUCUGUGUU